AUCGGUUUGGCCGAGUGGGUCUAAGGCGCCAGAUUUAGGCUCUGGUCGAAAGGGCGUGGGUUCAAAUCCCACAGCUGUCA
rfam:Ipomoea nil DNA, scaffold: scaffold2791, cultivar: Tokyo-kokei standard.